rnacentral:rRNA from 1 species
UACGUAGGUGGCAAGCGUUGUCCGGAAUUAUUGGGCGUAAAGCGCGCGCAGGCGGUCUUUUAAGUCUGAUGUGAAAGCCCACGGCUCAACCGUGGAGGGUCAUUGGAAACUGGGAGACUUGAGUGCAGAAGAGAAGAGUGGAAUUCCACGUGUGGCGGUGAAAUGCGUAGAGAUGUGGAGGAACACCAGUGGCGAAGGCGACUCUUUGGUCUGUAACUGACGCUGAGGCGCGAAAGCGUGGGGAGCAAACAGG